AGUGCAGAGGAGAGGGCUGAAACAAGGAGGUUAGCAGAGAGAACAGUGCAGAGGAGACGGCUGAAACAAGGAGGUUAGCAGAGGGAACAGUGCAGAGGAGAGGGCUGAAACAAGGAGGUUAGCAGAGAGAACAGUGCAGAGGAGAGG